rnacentral:misc_RNA from 1 species
AUGAGAAACCGGGUCGCUACCGGUAAGUCGUCGGACUGAUGGUUCCCUGAGUAAGGAAUUGCGUUAAUAAUCUUUGCGUUUAUUGAUGCCCUCUUACAUCACAGCAGAAACGGCGCACC